GUCAGGGUGGCCGAGUGGUCUAAGGCACCAGGCUCAAGUUCUGGUCUCGAGAUUGAGGCGUGGGUUCGAAUCCCACUUCUGACC